rnacentral:rRNA from 1 species
GAUGAACGCUGGCGGCGUGCCUAAUACAUGCCAGUCGAGCGAACAGACGAGGAGCUUGCUCCUCUGACGUUAGCGGCGGACGGGUGAGUAACACGUGGAUAACCUACCUAUAAGACUGGGAUAACUUCGGGAAACCGGAGCUAAUACCGGAUAAUAUAUUGAACCGCAUGGUUCAAUAGUGAAAGACGGUUUUGCUGUCACUUAUAGAUGGAUCCGCGCCGCAUUAGCUAGUUGGUAAGGUAACGGCUUACCAAGGCAACGAUGCGUAGCCGACCUGAGGGGGUGAUCGGCCACACUGGAACUGAGACACGGUCCAGACUCCUACGGGAGGCAGCAGUAGGGAAUCUUCCGCAAUGGGCGAAAGCUUGACGGAGCAACGCCGCGUGAGUGAUGAAGGUCUUCGGAUCGUAAAACUCUGUUAUUAGGGAAGAACAAAUGUGUAAGUAACUAUGCACGUCUUGACGGUACCUAAUCAGAAAGCCACGGCUAACUACGUG